AGGGAGUGGGCGCUAGGGCGAGGGAGCUGGAGUUUGCAGUUUUGCUCCGUGAUUGGCUGGUUUCUUUCUCCCCGGAGCCCACGAACUGGAAAAUGGAGGCUUCAAACAUCUCAAAUUCCCGUGGCCACAGUGGCCACUUAGCGCUGACCAUCCAUCGCUGCGGAUGACAUGAUUGGAGCCAAUGUGUGACUCCAGAACACUUAAGUCUCAGAACUGGAAGAAUUCUUGGGGCCCUGGCACAAUAUUCGCCUUGCAAGCAUCGACUGUCCCGUAUGGGCACCAGUUUGUGUCCUGACAGCUCUGCUUCCCAUCCAGCUCU